CCCGAGUUGUAAUUUGCAGAGGAUGCUUCGGGCGAGGCGCCUUCCGAGUUCCCUGGAACGGGACGCCGCAGAGGGUGAGAGCCCCGUCUGGUUGGAGGCCGAGCCCGUGUGAAGCUCCUUCGACGAGUCGAGUAGUUUGGGAAUGCUGCUCAAAACGGGAGGUAAACGCCUUCUAAAGCUAAAUACCGGCCGGAGACCGAUAGCGGACAAGUAGAGUGAUCGAAAGAUGAAAAGCACUUUGGAAAGAGGGUUAAAAAGCAUGUGAAAUUGUUGAAAGGGAAGCGCUGGUGACCAGACGCGGGCCCGGCGGAUCACCUGGCGUUCUCGCCAGGGCACUCCGGCGGGCCCGGGCCAGCAUCGGCUCGGCGCGGGGGACAAAGGCGGCGGGAACGUACCUCCCCCGGGAGGCUUACAGACCGCCGCGCAAUGCCCCGGGCCGGGCCGAGGAUCGCGCAGCACGCACGGAUGCUGGCGUAAUGGUCACGAGCGACCCGUCUUGAAACACGGACCAAGGAGUCGUCUUCGUAUGCGAGUGUUGGGGUGGCAAACCCCCGCGCGGAAUGAAAGUGAACGCAGGUGAGAGCUCCGGCGCAUCACCGACCGAUCCUGAUGUUCUCGGAUGGAUUUGAGUAGGAGCAUACGGGGCCGGACCCGAAAGAAGGUGAACUAUCUCUGAAUAGGGUGAAGCCAGGAGAAAUUCUGGU
rnacentral:rRNA from 1 species